rnacentral:sRNA from 1 species
GCUCUGCACUUGUGUAGUCUCUAACAAUUCUUCUGCAUAGCUCUUAACAUUCUUCUGCUCUGUGCUCUGCACUCAUGUAGUCUCUAACAAUUCUUCUGUGUAGCUCUCAAUGAUUCUUCCACCCCACACUCUGUGCUUGUGUAGUUUCUAACAAUUCUUCCGCAUAGCUCUUAACAUUCUUCCACUCUGCGCUCCACUGUGGAGCGGCCUCUGAUAUUCUUCCACCCCAAACUUCCCUCUAUAAGAACCCCCUUCAUACGACCUUUUCUUCUGAUUUCUUUUCUCUUUCUUUCCUUAAUCAAUUCGUAAUCUGUAUUUAGGAUAGUACCAAAUCGUUAAUCGAAGUUGAACCCGCGUCCGCCUUGGAGGACGCCGCCGCCCUCGACACCUACGAGUCCUCACUCACCCCGGCAGGGGGGGAUAAUGUGACGGAUUAGCACCUGUUAGUAAUUAACUUACACAACCAACUCCUGUCAUUGCAACCUUGUGUAACCCUCGAUGUUCUUCCGCUCUGUGCUCUGCACUUGUGUAGUCUCUAACAAUUCUUUCACAUAGCUCUUAAUGUUCUUCUGCUCUGUGCUCCACACUCACAUAGUCUCUAACAAUUCUUCCAUGUAGCCCUCAAUGAUUCUUCUGCCCCACACUCCACACUCAUGUAGUUUCUAACAAUUCUUUCACAUAGUUCUUAACAUUCUUCCACUCUGCACUUCACUGUGAAGUGGCCUCUGAUAUUCUUCCACUCUGAACUUCCCUCUAUAAGAACCCUCUUUGUACAACCUUUUCUUCUGAUUUCUUUUCUCUUUCUUUCCUUAAUCAAUUUGUAAUCUGUAUUUAGGAUAGUACCAAAUCAUUAAUCGA